AUUGAACGCUGGCGGCAUGCCUUACACAUGCAAGUCGAACGGUAACGGGCCUUCGGGUGCCGACGAGUGGAGAACGGGUGAGUAAUACAUCGGAACGUGCCCGAUCGUGGGGGAUAACGAGGCGAAAGCUUUGCUAAUACCGCAUACGAUCUACGGAUGAAAGCAGGGGACCGCAAGGCCUUGCGCGGACGGAGCGGCCGAUGGCAGAUGAGGUAGUUGGUGGGAUAAAAGCUUACCAAGCCGACGAUCUGUAGCUGGUCUGAGAGGAUGAUCAGCCACACUGGGACUGAGACACGGCCCAGACUCCUACGGGAGGCAGCAGUGGGGAAUUUUGGACAAUGGGCGCAAGCCUGAUCCAGCCAUGCCGCGUGCAGGAUGAAGGCCUUCGGGUUGUAAACUGCUUUUGUACGGAACGAAAAGCCUUCUUUUAAUACAGGAGGGUCAUGACGGUACCGUAAGAAUAAGCACCGGCUAACUACGUG
rnacentral:rRNA from 1 species